UUGCAUUUAAAUGUUUUCAAAGAUCUUAGAAUAAGGGAAAAAUAAAACUGGUUAAUCCAGCUGGGUAAUAUAUAUCAUAUAGUUUUCAGUCUAAUUGGAAAGUACCCUUCAUAAAGGAAGCAAAGGAUAAGUCUUUAGAGUCUGGAAUGUCAUAUAUUGCUGUUUUGCAUAAUUCUAGGAGGCUCAGGUAUUCUUUAAGCCAAGUUUUUAAAAUGUGUUUCUGCUAGGUACAAUCCACAAUCAAGACUGCAAGACACCCAGAUGCUGAUUGGCUGUCAUGGCAAUUUGUUUAUGAUAGAUGGGGAAUGGAGAAGCACAUGCAGAUAAAGAAUAUGGAAUCCCUACAAAAAGUGCUCUUAAUGGGAAUGUGUAUUUGUCAAAUACUUAAGGCUCUUACAUUUGGAAGUAUCUUGUUUGAUUUAAUGCCUUGAAUGGAUUCAAGAUCAGAUGCAAUGAUAAAUUACAGUAUGUCUGUUCCUCUCAAGUUUUGUAUACUAUUGCAUUGUGCUAGGCUUUCAUCUGCCAUCUGCCUUAAAUAUGUAGUAUGAUAUAUUUCCAGGCCAUCUGUACUAUCAAAAGCCCAAAUGAUGCUCUGGAAAGCUAGAGAGACAACAUGUGGAAACAACAUUUAUUCCUCAACCAAGCAACAUGGUACUCCCAAUAGAACAAAGAUUUGUUUUCGUCCCUUCUCUCUUACAAACUCAGUUGCCAUACUAGAGGGAGAAAAAGAGAUACUUUAACCCAGUGUUUCUCAACUUUAAAGAGCUUUAAAAUGUAAGAACCUCAGCUUUAAAAUGUAAGAACCUCAAUGCCCAGAAUUCCCCAGCUAGCUGUGGAACACUGAAAUAGCCUAAAAUUAGAGUAGGUAGGCAAUCUGAAGAUGCUUUUAUGCAUGGAAAAAGCCUCAAUUCCUCUGCUAAAUCUUGGCAGACAUGUUCAGAACAGGGAAGACUGCUCCAAUAGAUCUGGGAAAUCUUUCAACAGUACCAAGAGAAUAUUUUAUUGUUUUUAUUUAUGUUGCCCAUUUUCCACACAAAACUUAUUCAUGCUGACCAUACAGAUCUCCACAGCUUAAUUCAGAAAGAAAUGCCUCUAAUCUGCACAGAACAAUAGUAGCUCUGUUGUUAGGCAGAAAUAGGCACCCACAUGCUGUCAAGCACCAUACCAACCUGCAUCAACAAUUCCUAUUAAAACAUGGGAAAUACUGCAAUCCUUUGGCUGUGAAGUAGUUAUACCACUGGGAAACAGCUUUAACAGUAAUCUGAGAAAAUGUUAUUCAGAUAAACAAAGAUAUGCUCAAGUAUGCAAUGCCGAAAAAUGAAAAGCCAAAAUACACCACAAGAUUACUGCACAAUAAUCCAUUCAUGGCACCCUGCAGCAAGUUGGAACAGCCAGUAUCACAUGAAAGGGGACCAGUGAUUUAGCUGCACUUAGUACCUAUAUACUGAUGUAGGUCUAAUUUAAAUUGCCUGUUUCUCCUCCAAGCUAGUUAAAUAACAGACCACAGAAACUUGUCUAGAGAGUCACCGUAUACAUUCUAAAAGACAAACCAACUGCUGCAGUUUGUCAUAGCCAUAUGAAAUACAAAGAAUAAGGAAGAACAGAAAUUACCUGGAAGCUACGUCUAAUUGCAUCAGCAAUGGGAGAUGAGUUAGGUGAUCCUGCUGAAGGACCCAUGAGGAAAUUAUUCUACCACCUGCCUGGAUAUGGAUACGCUACCACUGCUGGGGGAAUGGCCAGCAGCAUCAAAUGGAAAUAUAAACUAAUUAGGUUGUCAAUCAUACUAGAUACAGCAAUCUGAACAUCUUGAAACACUGUAGCAUCCAAUGAAACCGCUAUCAGUCAUCAUUUAGCAAUUUUCUUUCAUCCUUUUUUUCAUUCUACCAGCCUUUUGUCACUCACUCACUCACUCACUCUCUCUCUCACACACACACACACAAACAAAUAUUAAGUGCUAUGCCCAUCAAAAAUAAUCCAACUUCUUUAUAAAUUAGUUGGAGACAUCCUUCCAACUACACAAACUAGACAUUUAGUCGGUAUUUCUAGUAAGUCUUCUUAUCUCUCUAUAUACCAACAGGAAAUGGUUAUUCCUCCUUCUGGUUGAAGCUACAGCUUUAAUUGUUCACAAUUUAAGGAAAAAUUCAAAAUUUUUGUAUGCUACCAAAUAACUUUUUAGUGUUACAAAAAGAUACAAAAUAGUUUCAUAGCUGUUUUAGAAUCUAAAAACAGAAUGGAUAGCAUAGGGCAAACCAAUCUGCAGAUUGUAAAAAUUAGCCUCACAAUAUAGUCUUUACUUUUUUGAUGUUAUUUUUUAACAGACAGCUGUUAUAUUCAAAUAUAAUAAAUUAUUUCUAAAACAA